AGAGGAGAUAGGAAGGCUGAACUUCCAGUCUUAGCCAGGGGUCCCAUGGAGAGGGAAGUAGAGGAAGGCCAUGAGGAAAAGAGAAAAGAUGUUAGCGAUGUUAGCGAUACCACGUGAAGAGACCAGAGGAGGCUAUGAGGCAGUGGGGGAAUUCUGAUGAGCAGGCUGCCAGGGGAUUCACCAUAAGGACACACUUGGAGCAAAGCAAGCCAAGUGUUGAAGCCUGGGCUCUCCCUCAAACUUGCUGUGUAGCCAGUGUACUAGUCUGCUGCCGCUCGGCUGUGAUAAGACAAGACCAAGAGUAACGUGGAGAAGAAAGUCCAGGUCUACCUGCCCAAGGAUGGAACUGCCCAUGAUGCGCUGGCCUCUCCUGUGUCAAUGAGUGGUCAAGAAAAUGCACAAGUCCACAGAACUAUCCAAUGGAAGCAGUUUUUCAGUUGAGGUUCCUUCUUCCAGAAGUGUCAUGUUACAAACAAAACUAACCAAAACAGCCAAUGGUGAUUGUACUUCCUCUAUUCUUAAGGCUCUAAGGUGGCAGUUAUGUGUCACCACAUCCAGCCCUAUUUGUUUUUCAUCUUCCCAGACUCUUAAAAUACAUGG